rnacentral:rRNA from 1 species
UGGAUCCAGACUUUGAUCCUGGCUCAGGAUAAACGCUGGCGGCGCACAUAAGACAUGCAAGUCGAACGGACUUAACCAUUAGUUUACUAUUGGAGCGGUUAGUGGCGGACUGGUGAGUAACACGUAAGCAACCUGCCUAUCAGAGGGGAACAACAGUUAGAAAUGACUGCUAAUACCGCAUAUGCCUAAGUACCACAUGGUACAAUAGGGAAAGGAGCAAUCCGCUGAUAGAUGGGCUUGCGUCUGAUUAGAUAGUUGGUGGGGUAAAGGCCUACCAAGUCGACGAUCAGUAGCCGGACUGAGAGGUUGAACGGCCACAUUGGGACUGAGAUACGGCCCAGACUCCUACGGGAGGCAGCAGUCGGGAAUAUUGCGCAAUGGAGGAAACUCUGACGCAGUGACGCCGCGUGCAGGAAGAAGGCUUUCGGAUUGUAAACUGCUUUAGACAGGGAAGAAACAAGACAGUACCUGUAGAAUAAGCUCCGGCUAACUACGUGCCAGCAGCCGCGGUAAUACGUAGGGAGCGAGCGUUAUCCGGAUUUAUUGGGUGUAAAGGGUGCGUAGACGGGAGAACAAGUUAGUUGUGAAAGCCCUCGGCUUAACUGAGGAACUGCAACUAAAACUAUUUUUCUUGAGUACUGGAGAGGAAAGUGGAAUUCCUAGUGUAGCGGUGAAAUGCAUAGAUAUUAGGAGGAACACCAGUGGCGAAGGCGACUUUCUGGACAGAAACUGACGUUGAGGCACGAAAGUGUGGGGAGCAAACAGGAUUAGAUACCCUGGUAGUCCACACUGUAAACGAUGGAUACUAGGUGUAGGGGAUAAUAAAUUCUCUGUGCCGUCGCAAACG